rnacentral:rRNA from 1 species
GACGGGGGGGGCAAGUGUUCUUCGGAAUGACUGGGCGUAAAGGGCACGUAGGCGGUGAAUCGGGUUGAAAGUGAAAGUCGCCAAAAAGUGGCGGAAUGCUCUCGAAACCAAUUCACUUGAGUGAGACAGAGGAGAGUGGAAUUUCGUGUGUAGGGGUGAAAUCCGUAAAUAUACGAAGGAACGCCAAAAGCGAAGGCAGCUCUCUGGGUCCCUACCCGAGGCUGGGGUGCGAAAGCAUGGGGAGCGAACAGGG